GACGAACGCUGGCGGCGUGCUUAACACAUGCAAGUCGAACGGAAAGGCCCUGCUUUUGUGGGGUGCUCGAGUGGCGAACGGGUGAGUAACACGUGAGUAACCUGCCCUUGACUUUGGGAUAACUUCAGGAAACUGGGGCUAAUACCGGAUAGGAGCUCCUGCUGCAUGGUGGGGGUUGGAAAGUCUCGGCGGUUGGGGAUGGACUCGCGGCUUAUCAGCUUGUUGGUGGGGUAGUGGCUUACCAAGGCUUUGACGGGUAGCCGGCCUGAGAGGGUGACCGGCCACAUUGGUACUGAGAUACGGCCCAGACUCCUACGGGAGGCAGCAGGGGGGAAUAUUGCACAAUGGGCGGAAGCCUGAUGCAGCAACGCCGCGUGCGGGAUGACGGCCUUCGGGUUGUAAACCGCUUUCGCCUGUGACGAAGCGUGAGUGACGGUAAUGGGUAAAGAAGCACCGGCUAACUACGUG
rnacentral:rRNA from 1 species